GGCGUAUUUCAGCCUGUAUACACUAUCUAGGUGUUAUCACCUGAGUAAAUAUAUGGUUUUAAAGUUUGGUUUGACCUACUUUAUGUUGGAAUGAGUUGAGUGGAAUAAUGAACCUCCAGAUGUCUAUGUACACGUGUAUGAAUAAACUCUGUUGUACUUGCGCAUGCGAGCUUAUCCAAUA